CACAUAUGGCGUCCAUGUCCACAAGGAAAAGGCAACUGUGAAACGUGUGGACUCUGAGGGAAAGUUCCAAGCCCAGUGCAAUGGCUAUGGAAGUGUCCAACCAAUAUAAGUCUGUGUCUGUGGGUAUUGGCUAGGUUAGGUUAGGUUAGGUUAGGGUCUUGUAAAGGGAGUGAGUGGCUAUACAGGAGGUUCUUGUAUAGUCAGUGGUGGUUAUGAGGAAAGCUAAAACAUAAG